CGUACCGCAAACCGACACAGGUAGUCAAGAUGAGAAUUCUAAGGUGAGCGAGCGAACUCUCGUUAAGGAACUCGGCAAAAUGACCCCGUAACUUCGGGAGAAGGGGUGCUCUUUAGGGUUAACGCCCAGAAGAGCCGCAGUGAAUAGGCCCAAGCGACUGUUUAUCAAAAACACAGGUCUCUGCUAAACCGUAAGGUGAUGUAUAGGGGCUGACGCCUGCCCGGUGCUGGAAGGUUAAGAGGAGUGGUUAGCUUCUGCGAAGCUACGAAUCGAAGCCCCAGUAAACGGCGGCCGUAACUAUAACGGUCCUAAGGUAGCGAAAUUCCUUGUCGGGUAAGUUCCGACCCGCACGAAAGGCGUAACGAUUUGGGCACUGUCUCAACGAGAGACUCGGUGAAAUCAUAGUACCUGUGAAGAUGCAGGUUACCCGCGACAGGACGGAAAGACCCCGUGGAGCUUUACUGUAGCCUGAUAUUGAAAUUCGGCACAGCUUGUACAGGAUAGGUAGGAGCCUUUGAAACGUGAGCGCUAGCUUACGUGGAGGCGCUGGUGGGAUACUACCCUAGCUGUGUUGGCUUUCUAACCCGCACCACUUA
rnacentral:rRNA from 1 species